rnacentral:rRNA from 1 species
AUUGAACGCUGGCGGCAUGCUUUACACAUGCAAGUCGAACGGCAGCGGGGUAGUGCUUGCACUACUGCCGGCGAGUGGCGAACGGGUGAGUAAUAUAUCGGAACGUACCGAGUAAUGGGGGAUAACCAAUCGAAAGACUGGCUAAUACCGCAUACGUCCUGAGGGAGAAAGCGGGGGAUCGCAAGACCUCGCGUUAUUCGAGCGGCCGAUAACUGAUUAGCUAGUUGGUGGGGUAAAGGCCUACCAAGGCGACGAUCAGUAGCGGGUCUGAGAGGACGAUCCGCCACACUGGGACUGAGACACGGCCCAGACUCCUACGGGAGGCAGCAGUGGGGAAUUUUGGACAAUGGGGGCAACCCUGAUCCAGCCAUGCCGCGUGUAUGAAGAAGGCCUUCGGGUUGUAAAGUACUUUUGUUAGGGAAGAAAAGGGAAGUGCUAAUACCACUUUUUGCUGACGGUACCUAAAGAAUAAGCACCGGCUAACUACGUG